rnacentral:rRNA from 1 species
GACGAACGCUGGCGGCGCGCCUAACACAUGCAAGUCGAACGAGCGAGAGAGAGCUUGCUUUCUCGAGCGAGUGGCGAACGGGUGAGUAACGCGUGAGGAACCUGCCUCAAAGAGGGGGACAACAGUUGGAAACGACUGCUAAUACCGCAUAAGCCCACGGCUCGGCAUCGAGCAGAGGGAAAAGGAGCAAUCCGCUUUGAGAUGGCCUCGCGUCCGAUUAGCUAGUUGGUGAGGUAACGGCCCACCAAGGCAACGAUCGGUAGCCGGACUGAGAGGUUGAACGGCCACAUUGGGACUGAGACACGGCCCAGACUCCUACGGGAGGCAGCAGUGGGGAAUAUUGCACAAUGGGGGAAACCCUGAUGCAGCGACGCAGCGUGGAGGAAGAAGGUCUUCGGAUUGUAAACUCCUGUUGUUGGGGAAGAUAAUGACGGUACCCAACAAGGAAGUGACGGCUAACUACGUGCCAGCAGCCGCGGUAAAACGUAGGUCACAAGCGUUGUCCGGAAUUACUGGGUGUAAAGGGAGCGCAGGCGGGAAGACAAGUUGGAAGUGAAAUCUAUGGGCUCAACCCAUAAACUGCUUUCAAAACUGUUUUUCUUGAGUAGUGCAGAGGUAGGCGGAAUUCCCGGUGUAGCGGUGGAAUGCGUAGAUAUCGGGAGGAACACCAGUGGCGAAGGCGGCCUACUGGGCACCAACUGACGCUGAGGCUCGAAAGUGUGGGUAGCAAACAAGAUUAGAUACCCUGGUAGUCCACACCGUAAACG